rnacentral:rRNA from 1 species
GACGAACGCUGGCGGCGUGCUUAACACAUGCAAGUCGAGCGAGGCCCUCCUUCGGGAGGUGUCCUAGCGGCGAACGGGUGAGUAACACGUGGGCAACCUGCCCUCAGCUCUGGGAUAACCCCAAGAAAUUGGGGCUAAUACCGGAUACGACCGCUGACCGCAUGGUCUGGUGGUGGAAAGAUUUAUCGGCUGAGGAUGGGCCCGCGGCCUAUCAGCUUGUUGGUGGGGUAGUGGCCUACCAAGGCGACGACGGGUAGCCGGCCUGAGAGGGUGACCGGCCACACUGGGACUGAGACACGGCCCAGACUCCUACGGGAGGCAGCAGUGGGGAAUAUUGCGCAAUGGGCGGAAGCCUGACGCAGCGACGCCGCGUGGGGGAUGACGGCCUUCGGGUUGUAAACCUCUUUCAGCAGGGACGAAGCGAAAGUGACGGUACCUGCAGAAGAAGCACCGGCCAACUACGUGCAGCCGCCGCCGUAACAC